CUGACUCUUGGGGACUUGGGCACUUGGGCUGAGCCAUGAAUCAGGUGGCCCUGAAGGAUUUAUGGGCAUUAAGCUCUCUUUUUGGUAUCGUUUAGCUCUGAAGUUUGAAGUCAUAAAUGUGGAAAUUGAGACCUCUCCACUGUUCCGGUGUUUUUCUAUUUAAGGUGUUCUGAAAAAUUGUAGCAACAUCUUUAUUGGGUGCUCUGAAGUGAGAAACAAGGAGAGGUGCAGAAGGCCGUUACUUGCAGAGUCUGAUCCUGCAGCUCCAAACUGCAUAAGCCCACGCAUGAGAGGAUGAAGCACUUGUGCAAAGCGAACUCUGGAUCUAUUUAUCAAGGCUGUAAGACUGUAAUGCCCCUGCUAUUUGCAGCUGCAUAUGUCUGGGUGCUACAGGAAUACGAUUUGAAGUUAACCAAAAGACUUUCCAGUCUUGAAGUUUUGAAUGUGAACCACCGAAGAACAGCUAUGGAUAGAAGCACCUACUCUGCACUAAAGGCAAUUUGGUCAAUCACAAGAAAUGGAGCAGUUCCUGGGCAUGCCAUAAUAGCAUAAUAAUGUUGGUAUUCAUCUUCUUCCUCUUUGCAGAGCUCUGAGAUGCACCGGCCUGCUGAGCAGCAAUGAGCCUGUUGUAAAGGUAAGCACAAACACGAGUACAUGAAUCCAGCCCUAGGACUUAAUGGUUCUGGACCCUUUCCCCCAGGAAAUUCAGAUCUUCAUAGAAUCAUAGAAUGGCCUGGGUUGAAAAGGACCACAAUGAUCAUCUAGUUUCAAGCCCCUGCCAUGGGCAGGGUAGCCAACCACCAGACCAGGAAGCCCAGAGCCACAUUCAGCACUGACUCUUCCAGCCCCUGCAGGAUGAUCUGGGUGACAACAGCACCGUAGUUGCCAUGUGAUGGACUUAUUUAGAUCUGUGCUCUGGAAAUGAUGGAGGUCCACAUUCUCCAUGGCAUUGAGAAGGACUUCUGCAGACAAGAGGAAUGAUCUCCACUAGAGAUGACUCAGUAUCUGCAAGGUAUUGUGGCAUUCUUCUGUUUGCAAAUGGAGACUACUUUAGCUCAACCAGUUUUCAAGUCAUGGGCAUUUGAGAGCUCACACUGAAACCAAUGAGAAAAUAUAAACACCGAAAUGUUAACCCAUGAGUGACCUCUGAAACAGCCACCCGGGGAAUGCGGAGCUUGAAAAACUUCUUUUUGUGGCACUUCUGUGGGUGAUUUGUUUGCGAAGAGUGGUGAUGCACAGAUGCCUGUGCACGUUUAUGGCUCCGAAAUGAAAGUCAUGGCAGCUGGGAAAGCGCUGGCGACCGGAGGCUCCUUGGCUGUGCCGUUGUGUUAUCAGCUCCGUGGCUGUGCAGGGAAUGGCACUGUGUGUGGUGGGAAGUUUUGAAAAUGAUUUUCAUCAGCAUGAUUAAAUACUUAUUACAUGAGUCAGCCAUACGGGCUUCAUUAAGCCAGUGAACUCGGAGGAGCCUCCUCAUCUGUUUAUGAAAGCCAUCUGGAAGCACGGGUCGCUCAGAAGAAAUAGGAUGGAUGGAGCGCGGUGUGACAGGAGCUGAGCUCCCCUCAUGGAAGCCACCCCAACCCAACGUGCUCUCCUCUUUCUGUACAUUUCUGGGCAAAGAAUCGAGGCCUGAGAUAACUCAGGCAGCAGAACUUUAAAUGCAGCCUGUCGGGAUGUGACACAGGCACCUUGUUCUGGUGGCAGGAUAUAACACGGCUUUAAAAAUAUAGAGGUGAGCUUGUGCACGGGAGGGAAGUGCACCUUGAAAGGAAAAGCUUAAUGAACUUUAACCGGCCUUCCAAGAUCUUUAUUAGCUGCCCCUUUAUCAAAUUAAAUUCACACUGUGCUAGGAGGCUUAAGUGCUGCAAGCUGAUGUCGUGUGCUAAGUGCCAAAGUAGGCUUUAAUUGGCUGUUUAAAGGAGGAGCGGGGCCCCGCUGUGCAGCACAUGCACGUGUGCACUCACAUGGAGCCGGGCAGCCCCGAAGGAGCCUGGUGUCCAUCCCCAUAGCAUCACAGGAUGCCCUGAGUUGGGAUGGACCCACAGCGGUCAUUGAGUCGUGAUGCCUUUGGUGACACACUGGAACAGGUUGCCCAAGGAGGCUGUGGAUGUCCCAUCCCUGGAGGCAUUCAAGGCCAGGCUGGAUGUGGCUCUGGGCAGCCUGGUCUGCUGGUU
ensembl:lncRNA